rnacentral:rRNA from 1 species
CAUGCCUAAUACAUGCAAGUCGAACGAAGUCUCCAGGAAGCUUGCUUCCAAAGAGACUUAGUGGCGAACGGGUGAGUAACACGUAGGUAACCAGCCCAUGUGUCUGGGAUAACUGCUGGAAACGGUAGCUAAAACCGGAUAGGUAUACGGAGCGCAUGCUCUGUAUAUUAAAGCACCCUUCAAGGUGUGAACAUGGAUGGACCUGCGGCGCAUUAGCUAGUUGGUGAGGUAACGGCCCACCAAGGCGAUGAUGCGUAGCCGGCCUGAGAGGGUAAACGGCCACAUUGGGACUGAGACACGGCCUAAACUCCUACGGGAGGCAGCAGUAGGGAAUUUUCGUCAAUGGGGGGAACCCUGAACGAGCAAUGCCGCGUGAGUGAAGAAGGUCUUCGGAUCGUAAAGCUCUGUUGUAAGUGAAGAACGGCUCAUAGAGGAAAUGCUAUGGGAGUGACGGUAGCUUACCAGAAAGCCACGGCUAACUACGUGCCAGCAGCCGCGGUAAUACGUAGGUGGCAAGCGUUAUCCGGAAUCAUUGGGCGUAAAGGGUGCGUAGGUGGCGUACUAAGUCUGUAGUAAAAGGCAAUGGCUCAACCAUUGUAAGCUAUGGAAACUGGUAGGCUAGAGUGCAGAAGAGGGCGAUGGAAUUCCAUGUGUAGCGGUAAAAUGCGUAGAUAUAUGGAGGAACACCAGUGGCGAAGGCGGUCGCCUGGUCUGUAACUGACACUGAGGCACGAAAGCGUGGGGAGCAAAUAGGAUUAGAUACCCUAGUAGUCCACGCCGUAAACGAUGAGAACUAAGUGUUGGAGGAAUUCAGUGCUGCAGUUAACGCAAUAAGUUCUCCGCCUGGGGAAUAUGCACGCAAGUGUGAACU